CUCUAUUUUCUUUGGGUCUAGUUGUCCUGUUUGUGAAUGUUUUUCUUUCUGUUGGUGGGGUUCCUGGUGGCUGGCAGUCCUUGGUUGACCAUCAAAGGACAAGGUGUACACUUUAUUGAACUGAUCAAGUCAGUGUACAGUUUCUACCCCCAAAGGAGAGAGGCUGAGGGAGGGGACUGAUCAGCCCUGGGCUUCUGACCACCAGCUUCAGCCUCGGGUCUUCCUUGCAAAACCACAGCUGGGGAACAACACAGAGACCACGUGGUGUGGUUCUAAUUCCUCUGACAUCUCAUUUUCAUUCUUCAAUGAUAUUUAUCUGCAUCCAGCUUACACAUAAAUGUUUCCA